rnacentral:lncRNA from 1 species
CAUACACCGCUGAUGAUGGAAGGAAUAAAUUUCGCAACGAGUUCAGGUUUUCGGUGAGAAUCUCCCGGCAAACUUCAUAACUGAUUCCAAUCAUGUCAAACAAAUAGUAGACUUUUCGGCGAAUUUUUGCCAAAUUUGCCGGCGUUUUGCAAGUGAAUGGUCACCGAGAACGCUCAUUCAGUCGAACUUAGACUCAACCGGUUUUGAAACGCAUGUGUCUUUCAAAAUUGUGUAUUCUUCCUCAAGAAAAUCCGCCAAAAGUUUAAGGAAGUAUUUUGAGUUCCUCCGUUGUAGAUUGACAGAUCUUUUUCUAAAAUGCCUGAAUUUGUCAAAUAUCAUAAAAAUCGCAGCGAUGUUGCAGCACUACGAGAGAAAAUUUGAGUAAAUAACUGAACAAAACUAAGUAGAAUGACUAUCUACGUUGGCAGCUAAUGAAAAUCAGCUGUUCACAAAUUUUUGUUGAACAGAACAAUGACAGGAGCUGGCUUGUGAAGGCUAAACGGAACAACGAACGAACAGUACACAGAAACGGAGGAGUCAGUUCCCGGUAAACCGACAACGCGACACAGUUUCGAUUUGCGAUUAAUACUAACUACCACUGAUGUCCUUGGGAAGAAACAUGUACGUCACAUUCCCAAUAUUUCACUUCCUUUCUUAGAAAAUACAAGGCAUAUGUAUUAUGUUUAGCCAUAAGAAACUGAUGCUUCUCUUUCUGUUAAUAAGAAACAAAUAACGGUUACGAUUCUUCGCUGAAUCUUUUGUUGUUCAUCUGUAAAUAAAUAAUAAAUAGUUUCAGAUAUUUUUCUC